AGUGAACGCUGGCGGUAGGCCUAACACAUGCAAGUCGAACGGCAGCACAGUAAGAGCUUGCUCUUACGGGUGGCGAGUGGCGGACGGGUGAGGAAUACAGCGGAAUCUACUUUUUCGUGGGGGAUAACGUAGGGAAACUUACGCUAAUACCGCAUACGACCUACGGGUGAAAGCAGGGGAUCUUCGGAACUUGCGCGAUUGAAUGAGCCGAUGUCGGAUUAGCUAGUUGGCGGGGUAAAGGCCCACCAAGGCGACGAUCCGUAGCUGGUCUGAGAGGAUGAGCAGCCACACUGGAACUGAGACACGGUCCAGACUCCUACGGGAGGCAGCAGUGGGGAAUAUUGGACAAUGGGCGCAAGCCUGAUCCAGCCAUACCGCGUGGGUGAAGAAGGCCUUCGGGUUGGAAAGCCCUUUUGUUGGGAAAGAAAAGCAGCAGGUUAAUACCCCGCUGUUCUGACGGUACCCAAAGAAUAAGCACCGGCUAACUUCGUG
rnacentral:rRNA from 1 species